UACGUAGGGGCCUAGCGUUGUCCGGAUUUAUUGGGCGUAAAGAGCUCGUAGGCGGUUCGGCAAGUCACGUGUGAAAUCUCCACGCUUAACGUGGAGGCGCCACGUGAAACUGCCGUGACUUGAGUCCGGUAGGGGGUGUGGAAUUCCCGGUGUAGCGGUGAAAUGCGCAGAUAUCGGGAGGAACACCAGUAGCGAAGGCGGCACCCUGGGCCGGUACUGACGCUGAGGAGCGAAAGCGUGGGGAGCGAACAGG
rnacentral:rRNA from 1 species